GGAGCGGACCGGGUAGUCGCCGGUCUGGUGGCAACUGCCGCCAGGCGGGAGGAAAGUCCGGGCUCCAGAGGACAGGGUGGUGGGUAACACCCACCGACCGCAAGGUCCGGGCAAGUGCAACAGAAAGGAAACCGCCCCUUGCGCAUGCGUGAGGGGUAAGGGUGAAACGGUGCGGUAAGAGCGCACCAGCAGGCCGGGUGACCGGUCUGGCUAGGUAAACCCCACCCGGAGCAAAGCCAAACAGAGAGCAGUCCCGCAACCGCGGGCCACGGGCCGGUCCGGUCCGUUAUCGACUUUCGGGUAGGCUGCUGGAGGCGGUGAGCAAUCACCGUCGUAGAGAAAUGGCUACCUCGCAAACCGUAAGGUUUGCGACAGAACCCGGCUUAUAGGUCCGCUCCGCAU
rnacentral:RNase_P_RNA from 1 species